rnacentral:rRNA from 1 species
AUUGAACGCUGGCGGCAUGCUUUACACAUGCAAGUCGAACGGUAACAGGCCUUCGGGUGCUGACGAGUGGCGCACGGGUGAGUAAUGCAUCGGAACGUACCCAGAGGUGGGGGAUAACGCAGCUCAAGCUGUGCUAAUACCGCAUGUGAUCUGAGGAUGAAAGCGGGGGACCGAGCAGCAAUGUUUGGCCUCGCGCCUUUGGAGCGGCCGAUGUCGGAUUAGCUAGUUGGUGGGGUAAAGGCCCACCAAGGCGACGAUCCGUAGCUGGUCUGAGAGCACGAUCAGCCACACUGGGACUGAGACACGGCCCAGACUCCUACGGGAGGCAGCAGUGGGGAAUUGUGGACAAUGGGCGCAAGCCUGAUCCAGCAAUGCCGCGUGCGGGAAGAAGGCCUUCGGGUUGUAAAACGCUUUUGGGAGGAGAGAAACGGUGUCCGCUAAUACCGGGCGCUAAUGACGGUACCUGCAGAAUAAGCACCGGCUAACUACGUG